GCGCUGCCCAGGACGGUUGUGAAUGGUUUAAAGAAAUACAAACAAGCCAGAGGGUUUUUCCCCUAGCCCAGAAUAGAUAGGUGGUGUAGCCAGGCCAUACUGCAGCACUGACACAGUGCUGUAGAGAUAAGUCUGGCAAUUCCAACUACUAUCCUC